rnacentral:rRNA from 1 species
UGGGGAAUAUUGCACAAUGGGCGAAAGCCUGAUGCAGCAACGCCGCGUGAGGGACGACGGCCUUCGGGUUGUAAACCUCUUUUAGCAAGGAAGAAGCGAAAGUGACGGUACUUGCAGAAAAAGCGCCGGCUAACUACGUGCCAGCAGCCGCGGUAAUACGUAGGGCGCAAGCGUUAUCCGGAAUUAUUGGGCGUAAAGAGCUCGUAGGCGGUUUGUCGCGUCUGCUGUGAAAACCCGAGGCUCAACCUCGGGCCUGCAGUGGGUACGGGCAGACUAGAGUGCGGUAGGGGAGAUUGGAACUCCUGGUGUAGCGGUGGAAUGCGCAGAUAUCAGGAAGAACACCGAUGGCGAAGGCAGAUCUCUGGGCCGUAACUGACGCUGAGGAGCGAAAGGGUGGGGAGCAAACAGGCUUAGAUACCCUGGUAGUCCACCCCGUAAACGUUGGGAACUAGUUGUGGGGUCCAUUCCACGGAUUCCGUGACGCAGCUAACGCAUUAAGUUCCCCGCCUGGGGAGUACGGCCGCAAGGCUAAAACUUGAAAUGAAUUGACGGGGUCAUAGCUGUUUCCU